UCUGGCGGCAGUAGCGCGGUGGUCCCACCUGACCCCAUGCCGAACUCAGAAGUGAAACGACGUAGCGCCGAUGGUAGUGUGGGGUCUCCCCAUGCGAGAGUAGGGAACUGCCAGAC
rnacentral:rRNA from 1 species